UAGCUUCACANUCGAGCGGACAGAAGGGAGCUUGCUCCCGGAUGUUAGCGGCGGACGGGUGAGUAACACGUGGGUAACCUGCCUGUAAGACUGGGAUAACUCCGGGAAACCGGAGCUAAUACCGGAUAGUUCCUUGAACCGCAUGGUUCAAGGAUGAAAGACGGUUUCGGCUGUCACUUACAGAUGGACCCGCGGCGCAUUAGCUAGUUGGUGAGGUAACGGCUCACCAAGGCGACGAUGCGUAGCCGACCUGAGAGGGUGAUCGGCCACACUGGGACUGAGACACGGCCCAGACUCCUACGGGAGGCAGCAGUAGGGAAUCUUCCGCAAUGGACGAAAGUCUGACGGAGCAACGCCGCGUGAGUGAUGAAGGUUUUCGGAUCGUAAAGCUCUGUUGUUAGGGAAGAACAAGUGCAAGAGUAACUGCUUGCACCUUGACGGUACCUAACCAGAAAGCCACGGCUAACUACGUGCCAGCAGCCGCGGUAAUACGUAGGUGGCAAGCGUUGUCCGGAAUUAUUGGGCGUAAAGGGCUCGCAGGCGGUUUCUUAAGUCUGAUGUGAAAGCCCCCGGCUCAACCGGGGAGGGUCAUUGGAAACUGGGAAACUUGANUGCAGAAGAGGAGAGUGGAAUUCCACGUGUAGCCGGUGAAAAUGCGUANAGAUGUGGGAGGAAC
rnacentral:rRNA from 1 species